rnacentral:lncRNA from 1 species
AGAUUUUCAAAAUUUUAAAUACGGAGAAUAACAGAUCCAUCUAAAUUCUCAAUUCUAUAAGUCUCUAGACGAACUAUAUCAGUGAUCCAAUAGGGUCCUUCCUAAUUGGAAGCUAGUUUACUUUGUUCCGUAGGCUUUAAGACUUCAGCUUACCUCAGGAUGAGAUCAUCCUUCUGAAAUGACUUCGACUUUACACGAACAUUAUAAUAUUUGACAAUUCUCUACUUAC